UUGUUUAAACGGUCAAAGACAGGUCGCGAUUACGAAGUAAUCGUUUCUUAUACGAAGAAUAAACGCUUCGGUCUAAACCACUCUUUAUCUGGCUAGAUAAACGAGUUUGAACAAAAGUGUGUAGAGUACACGAGCGGCGGACGGCUGAGUAAUGCAUUGGAACGUACCCCAAACUGAGGGAUAAUCCACCGAAAGGUGGACUAAUACCGCAUGUGCCAUUCGUGGUAAAGCUACGGCGGUUUGGGAGCGGCCAAUGUUCGAUUAGCUAGUUGGUGAGGUAAUAGCUCACCAAGGCUACGAUCGAUAGCGGGUCUGAGAGGAUGAUCCGCCAGACUGGAACUGAGACACGGUCCAGACUCCUACGGGAGGCAGCAGUAGGGAAUUUUCCACAAUGGGGGCAACCCUGAUGGAGCAACGCCGCGUGCAGGAUGAAGGCCCUCGGGUCGUAAACUGCUUUUCUCUGUGAUGAUUAUGACAGUAGCAGAGGAAUAAGGAUCGGCUAACUCCGUG
rnacentral:rRNA from 1 species